rnacentral:rRNA from 1 species
CGGGGUGCACCAGGCGCGAAAACUUUACAAUGCUGGAAACAGCGAUAAGGGGACCUCGAGUGCCAGGUUACAAAUCUGGCUGUCGUGAUGCCUAAAAAGCAUUGCAUAGCAAGGGCCGGGCAAGACCGGUGCCAGCCGCCGCGGUAACACCGGCGGCUCGAGUGGUAACCGUUAUUAUUGGGUCUAAAGGGUCUGUAGCCGGCCGGAUAAGUCUCUUGGGAAAUCCAGCAGCUCAACUGUUGGGCUUUCAGGAGAUACUGUCUGGCUCGAGGCCGGGAGAGGUGAGAGGUACUUCAGGGGUAGGGGUGAAAUCUUGUAAUCCUUGAAGGACCACCAGUGGCGAAGGCGUCUCACCAGAACGGACCUGACGGCAAGGGACGAAAGCUAGGGGCACGAACCGGAUUAGAUACCCGGGUAGUCCUAGCCGUAAACGAUACUCGCUAGGUGUCGGCCACGGUGCGACCGUUGUCGGUGCCGUAGGGAAGCCGUGAAGCGAGCCACCUGGGAAGUACGGCCGCAAGGCUGAAACUUAAAGGAAUUGGCGGGGGAGC